UUUAUCCUGAACUUUGAUUAUUCAGUAUUAUUCUCCUGCAAGGUUUUUGCUUGGAUAAUUACUUAGUAUAAAAUUAAGCAGCACAUGAGUAGUAAUUCUUUUAGGGCAACAGUUCUAAAUCGGUUCAGGGGUCAUGUUCCUUGGGUCAAACCCAGAAGGUCUGACCUAGACUUUCUUUUGAUUCGUCCCUCCAGGCACCUUCAUUGCUUUGUGAUGGACCCAUCUGACCACAUGGCUACUAUCAACCACAACAUGGAGGCUGUGGCACUGAAUGAUGAUGCUGCUCCUGAAGGUUCCGCCAAAGAGCAGAAUACUUCUGCUGUUGACUUGCUGAGAAUGAAACAGCAGAUGUACAACCAGUGCUUUGAAAUCAAAGUACAACUCCAGGCAGG